rnacentral:rRNA from 1 species
AUGAACUCUAGCUGGCAGGCUUAAUACAUGCAGUUCGUGGGCAGCAGGUCCCGCGAAUGCGGGAUGCUGGCGACCGGCAAACGGGUGCGGAACACCGUACACAACCUUCCUUUAAGUGGGGAAUAGCCGGGGAAACCCGGAUUAAUACCCCGUAACAUAUAGAGUGGCAUCACUUUUAUAUUAUAGCAGCAAUGCGCUUGAAGAUGGGGUGUGCGGCUGAUUAGAUUAGUUGCGGGGGUAACGGCCCACCAAGUCGACGAUCAGUAACUGGUGUGAGAGCACGACCAGCCCACAGGGCACUGAGACAAGGGCCCGACUACCUACGGGAAGCAGCAGUAAGGAAUAUUGGUCAAUGGACCGCAAGUCUGAACCAGCCGAUGGCCGCGUGGAGGAUGAAGGUCCUCUGGAUAUGUAAAACUUCUUUAUUUGGGAAGAAAUCUAUCUUUUCUUGGAUAGUUGACAGGUACCAGAUGAAUAAGCACCUGCUAACUCGUGCCAGCAGCCGCGGUAAUACGGAGGGUGCAAGCGUUAUCCGGAUUCACUGGGUUUAAAGGGUGCGUAGGUGGGCAAGUAAGGUCAGUGGUGAAUCUCCGGGCUUAACCCGGAAACUGCCAUUGGAUACUAUUUGUCUUGAAUACUGUGGGAGGUCAGCGGAAUAUGUCACGUAGCGGUGAAAUGCUUAGAUAUGACACAGAACACCAAUUGCGAAGGCAGCUGCUACACAAAUAUUGACACUGAGGCACGAAAGCGUGGGGAUCAAACAGGAUUAGAUACCCUGGUAGUCCCACGCCCUAAACUAUGGAUACUCGACAUUUGCGAUAAACUGCAAGUGUCUGAGCGAAAGCAUUAAGUAUCCCCCACCUGGGGAAGUACGAUCGCAAGAUUGAAACUCAAAGGAAUUGGCGGGGGUCUUGCACAAGCGGUGGAGCAUGUGGUUUAAUUCGAUGAUACGCGAGGAACCUUACCCUGGGCUAGAAUGCUGGGAGACCGUGGGUGAAAGCUCACUUUGUAGCAAUACACUGCCAGUAAGGGUGCUGCAUGGCUGUCGUCAGCUCGUGCCGUGAGGUGUUGGGUUAAGUCCCCGCAACGAGCGCAACCCCCCAUCACUAGUUGCCAUCAGGUAACGCUGGGAACUCUAGUGAAACUGCCGUCGUAAGACGUGAGGAAGGAGGGGAUGAUGUCAAGUUCAUCAUGGCCUUUAUGCCCAGGGCUACACACGUGCUACAAUGGGGCGUACAAAGGCUGCAACAUAGCGAUAUGAAGCUAAUCCCAAAAAACCGCCUCUCAGUUCAGAUUGGAGUCUGCAACUCGACUCCAUGAAGCUGGAAUCGCUAGUAAUCGUAUAUCAGCAAUGAUACGGUGAAUACGUUCCCGGACCUUGCACACACGGCCCGUCAAGCCAUGGAAGCUGGGUGUACCUAAAGUCGGUAACCGUAAGGAGCCGCCUAGGGUAAAACUAGUGACUGGGGCU